GAUGAACGCUGGCGGCGUGCCUAACACAUGCCAGUCGAGCGGACAGACGAGGCUUUUGCUCGGCUGACGAGAGGGGCGGGCGGGUGAGGCACACGAGUAUAACCUACCUAUAAGACUGAGAUCACUACGGGAAACCGGAGAAAACACCGGAUAAGAUAUUGAACCGCGGGGGUCAUUGGAGAAAGACGGUUUUGCUGGCACUACUAGCGGGUUCCGAGCUGGAUUAGCUAGUUGGUACGGUAACGGCCUACCAAGGCUACGAUGCGUAGCCGACCUGAGAGGGUGAUCGGCCACACUGGAACUGAGACACGGUCCAGACUCCUACGGGAGGCAGCAGUAGGGAAUGUUAGGCAAUGGGCGAAAGCCUGACGCAGCGACGCCGCGUGUGUGAUGAAGGUCUUCGGAUCGUAAAGCUCUGUUAUGGGGGAUGAACAGCUGUGUAAUUAAACGUGGCCGUCUUGACGGUACCUAGUAAAAAAGCACCGGCUAACUACGUG
rnacentral:rRNA from 1 species